rnacentral:tRNA from 1 species
UUAGAGAGGUAGGAAUCGAACCUACAACUAAAAGACCAAAACUUUUUGUAUUUCCAUUUUACUACUCCCUA